rnacentral:tRNA from 1 species
UGUUCUGUGGCAUAGUUGGUUAAAGCGCCGGUCUAGCGAAUACGGAGUCGUGGGUUCAAAUUCCACCAGAACGC